rnacentral:rRNA from 1 species
UACGGAGGGUGCGAGCGUUAUCCGGAAUUACUGGGUUUAAAGGGUGCGUAGGCGGCUAUGUAAGUCAGGAGUGAAAGUUUGCGGCUCAACCGUAAAAUUGCUUUUGAUACUGCAUGGCUAAAAUCAGGAUGAGGUUAGCGGAAUGUGGCAUGUAGCGGUGAAAUGCAUAGAUAUGUCAUAGAACACCAAUUGCGAAGGCAGCUGGCUAGACCUGCAUUGACGCUGAGGCACGAAAGCGUGGGGAGCGAACAGG